rnacentral:rRNA from 1 species
AGUGGGGGAUAGCCCGGCGAAAGCCGGAUUAAUACCGCAUACGAUCUACGGAUGAAAGCGGGGACCUUCGGGCCUCGCGCUAUAGGGUUGGCCGAUGGCUGAUUAGCUAGUUGGUGGGGUAAAGGCCUACCAAGGCGACGAUCAGUAGCUGGUCUGAGAGGACGACCAGCCACACUGGGACUGAGACACGGCCCAGACUCCUACGGGAGGCAGCAGUGGGGAAUUUUGGACAAUGGGCGAAAGCCUGAUCCAGCAAUGCCGCGUGUGUGAAGAAGGCCUUCGGGUUGUAAAGCACUUUUGUCCGGAAAGAAAUCCUUGGCUCUAAUACAGUCGGGGGAUGACGGUACCGGAAGAAUAAGCACCGGCUAACUACGUGCCAGCAGCCGCGGUAAUACGUAGGGUGCAAGCGUUAAUCGGAAUUACUGGGCGUAAAGCGUGCGCAGGCGGUUUGCUAAGACCGAUGUGAAAUCCCCGGGCUCAACCUGGGAACUGCAUUGGUGACUGGCAGGCUAGAGUAUGGCCAGAGGGGGGUAGAAUUCCACGUGUAGCAGUGAAAUGCGUAGAGAUGUGGAGGAAUACCGAUGGCGAAGGCAGCCCCCUGGGCCAAUACUGACGCUCAUGCACGAUAGCGUGGGGAGCAAACAGGAUUAGAUACCCUGGUAGUCCACGCCCUAAACGAUGUCAACUAGUUGUUGGGGAUUCAUUUCCUUAGUAACGUAGCUAACGCGUGAAGUUGACCGCCUGGGGAGUACGGUCGCAAGAUUAAAACUCAAAGGAAUUGACGGGGACCCGCACCAGCGGUGGAUGAUGUGGAUUAAUUCGAUGCAACGCGAAAAACCUUACCUACCCUUGACAUGGUCGGAAUCCUGUUGAGAGGUGGGAGUGCUCGAAAGAGAACCGGCGCACAGGUGCUGCAUGGCCGUCGUCAGCUCGUGUCGUGAGAUGUUGGGUUAAGUCCCGCAACGAGCGCAACCCUUGUCCUUAGUUGCUACGCAAGAGCACUCUAAGGAGACAGCCGGUGACAAACCGGAGGAAGGUGGGGAUGACGUCAAGUCCUCAUGGCCCUUAUGGGUAGGGCUUCACACGUCAUACAAUGGUCGGAACAGAGGGUUGCCAACCCGCGAGGGGGAGCUAAUCCCAGAAAACCGAUCGUAGUCCGGAUUGCACUCUGCAACUCGAGUGCAUGAAGCGGGAAUCGCUUGUAAUCGCGGAUCAGCAUGCCGCGGUGAAUACCGUUCCCGGGUCGUUGUAC